rnacentral:rRNA from 1 species
CCUACGGGGGGCUGCAGUGGGGAAUAUUGGACAAUGGGGGCAACCCUGAUCCAGCCAUGCCGCGUGUGUGAAGAAGGCCCUCGGGUUGUAAAGCACUUUCAGUGAGGAAGAACGCCUGGUGGUUAAUACCCAUCAGGAAAGACAUCACUCACAGAAGAAGCACCGGCUAACUCCGUGCCAGCAGCCGCGGUAAUACGGAGGGUGCGAGCGUUAAUCGGAAUUACUGGGCGUAAAGCGUGCGUAGGUGGCUUGAUAAGCCGGUUGUGAAAGCCCCGGGCUCAACCUGGGAACGGCAUCCGGAGCUGUCAAGCUAGAGUGCAGGAGAGGAAGGUAGAAUUCCCGGUUUAGCGGUGAAAUGCGUAGAGAUCGGGAGGAAUACCCGUGGCGAAGGCGGCCUUCUGGACUGACACUGACACUGAGGUGCGAAAGCGUGGGUAGCAAACAGGAUUAGAUACCCUGGUAGUC